rnacentral:rRNA from 1 species
UACGUAGGGGGCAAGCGUUGUCCGGAAUCAUUGGGCGUAAAGAGCGUGUAGGCGGUCUGGUAAGUCGGCUGUGAAAGUCCAGGGCUCAACCCUGGGAUGCCGGUCGAUACUGCCGGACUAGAGUUCGGAAGAGGCGAGUGGAAUUCCCGGUGUAGCGGUGAAAUGCGCAGAUAUCGGGAGGAACACCAGUGGCGAAAGCGCUCUACUGGGCCAUAACUGACACUGAGGGACGAAAGCUAGGGGAGCGAAAGGG